ACAAUGUGACACAUUGUUCUUUUGAUUUUUUAUUGCUUCGUACACACCGAUCGUGAGACUAUUUUUUGCAAAUGAAGAAUGCAAGGUAUGAGAAAUCAAAUCGAAAUUUGGAGAUAAAAUUUUUGUUGUAAAUACGCGCCCAAAUGUGAUUCCAACGUGAA